rnacentral:lncRNA from 1 species
UCUUUAUGGCUUUGCUCAGGUAGAUCAUUCGGCGCCAUAAAUUUUCUUAUCUCCAGUGCUUUUCCAAUUAUGGAUAACAACAGAAAAGCCGUCAUUGGCUUCUAAAAGGUCAUCAAGAUAUAGAGCCCACGCGGGAAGGGGAUGACGGAUGCAGUUGGCUUGUAUAAAUCUCAAGAAGUUUUAUGCACGAGUCAGACGAGAAACGUAAGUGAGAUUCAUAAAAUAUAUAAAGAUUUAUGGGGUCUCUGUUGAUGAAAAUUGCCUCUCCUUUUGCUGUUUGUGUGGGAAUUAUUUGUUCUUCCCAAGUGUUUUACAUAUGGAUUGCGGGGAGCCGAGAAGUCCUUAUGAAGCCCUGCCCGUGGCUAGUGGCAUCCCAAGGACAUGUGGCAAUUGGUCUCCACCUCAUGGAACAGCUGGCUGGAAGAGGUCACGGAAACCACAGGUCUGCGGGACACCAGAAAUGCUGGCGUCCCAUGGACAGUCAACUGGCUCCUGGUGACACUGUCCUCCUGACAUGUGAGGGGUGGGACGUGUUGGUCUGGCUUUGAUUGUCCCAGGGCAGGUCUGAGCCCCUGCCUGGGAGCCAGUGUGGGUUCUCAGCCUCCCAGGGCAGGUCUGAGCAGCAGCUCUUGUAAGCACUUCCCCAGGGGCUUCACACGCACCAAGGAGGAGAGGAGGAGCACCUGUGUGGAGCUUCCUCCUCCCUCUGUGGAGAGUGCAGAAAGGUGAAGUGGCAGUUAGUGACACUGUGGCAACCUCUGCUUUGCAGGGACUUGCGAUAUUAUCAAAGACGGAACCGUGAUGCCAAUGUGGAGAGCACCAGGCGGUGCAUCUCUCGGAAGCUGUUGAUGUAGGCUGAUCAGAAGGCGGACCCCAGCCUGAGGGUCGGCAUGAGUCAGCUUCUGUGAGGAGAUACUGGAGGCCGGCUUCUUGGGAAGACAAGGAGGGUUCUUGAGCUCACUGUUUUGGAGGUCAGGGGACCCCUUGCUUUGGUCCUCUGGUGAGGGUGGCCGUGCACGUUGGAGAGAAUGCCCUCUCCACCCACGGUCCCCUAGGUCCCCUGGAGGCUACGUCCCCAGUGACCCGAGGACCUCCCACCAGGCCCACAGCAUCUCCAGCAGGUCUACCCUGGGGACCAAGUCUUUAAAACACAAAGCCUGGGGACACUGCCUGUAUUCACACCAUAGGUCUCUGCUGCUCUUCAGCUGUCCCUUGCUGUGCCAAUGCAGCAGCUGUACCCACCCAGAGCAAGGCACAGAGGGGAACCUCAGACGCGAUGGAGUCCUGCACCGUGGUGCAGAGGUGGGCUGCUGAGUGUCCCACAGCUGGCCCCCUGGGGCAGUCCUGAUGGCCUCGUUUCCUCAUGCCCAUGAUGAAAAUACUCCCGCUGUGGCCAAUUUCAAGGGCACUCUGCUGACCUUGGAGCCAGGUGGGCUGUGCCAAUGGGCUGUCUCAAACUGGGCUGAGCCAACCCAGCACCCACUCCACCUGCCGCCCGGGGAAUGGGCUGCAGUGAGGCGGAAAUGGCCCAGGUGACAGCAGGAGCCGGCAGCCACCUCAGGGCUGGGCAGGCUAAGCCGUGUCCGCCAGGGUGGCGGGGGUGAGUAGGUGUGACCCUGGGGAGGGAGCACAGCCCAGGAUCUGGGGACCAGAGUCAGCAGAGAGGUGCUGGGGCUCGUGGGGCAACACCUCCUGGGGCGGAGCAGGGGACACUGGCCUGCCACUAACCUCAGCCCCAGGGCCUCAGGAGCCAUGCCCGGCUCACCCGGGCCAGGUCUGGGAGAGGCAGAAGGAAGCACAGCCCCCGGGCCUGGGUAGGGGCCUGGCCUUCCCCGGAGCCUCCCCUUCCUUUCCAUUGUCCCCCAUCCCUUCCCCAGUCCUGAGAGAUGGCCCCCUGAGCCCCGGCAGCAGUUUGCCCACUUCCUGCCCUCGCUCCAGCUGGCCUCCCCCGCAGCCCUGCCCCACCCUGCCUUCAGGGCCACAGCAGCCCUUCACGUCCCCAGAGGCUCUCUGCAAACGUCAGUCCUCCAUGAGGACCUUCCCAGUCCCCUGAACCAGGGAGAGCCAUCAUCCUUCCUCCCCAAGAUGCCAUUCCUCUGGUACAGCAUUGGUGACGUGUGUCCUGUGUGACAGCGUGGCCCUUCCAGCCACUUGGCUGCUGUUUCUGCUCUCCUGGUGCUGAGGUGGGGGCACAAGGAGGAGGAGAGGGUGCCCAGGCUGACCCCUUGGUCCACUCCUGACCAGUACAACACCAGGUACCACAGAAGAGGAGGACCAGCAAGGCACUGGGGGGUUCAGGGGAGGAUCUCUGUGCCCCGCGGCUGUAGGAGGCGGUGCUUGCAGUUGCAGGAGGGACGAGGUGGCCAUGUGGAAUGGCCCUUCUAUUAUAACAGCCAACUCAGUGUAGGGAGGCGGCUGGGCGGCCACCGUGACCCCUGUUCUCGUGGGGCCACAGUUCCUUGCUCAGCGCCCCCUCCAACCCGAGGGGAAUCUUGUGCAGUGUCCCUGUCCCCUGCAGGCUCUUCUGCAGGACAAAGGAUGACAACCCUCAAGCUUACAGACUGAUGAGACCGAGUCGGGUGCAGGGACGUUUGUCACGUUGCAGAGUGACAAAGAGGAAGUGGGUGUCUGACCUGCGAUGACAAACACAGGGAGCCGCCAAGGCACCAGGGGUGGGGAGGGGCAGAGUCACCGUGUCACUUCUCCGCAGAUUUUCCUGCAUUUAAUGGUCCCAUAGAUUAUGAGACCUGAUCAUCUGAUGGCCCAUUGAGAUGUUUGAUGGCGUCAGGGUGUAAAGGUUUUCGGAGAGGGAAAAAAUAAUGGUGGAUUUUUGUCCUACAAAGACCCUCAUUGUCUGUGAAGUUGAUUUUGUUUUGCUUUUCUCGGAAGUGUCCUCCAGACACUUCACUAACCUCCUGUGUGCGAAGAGCGGGAAGAGACCCCUCCCCCACCUUAUUUGGCGUGGAGGAAAUGGGUGUGGUGGGUGCAGAUGUGCCCCCCUUUCCCCUUAGAGGGACAUUUGAGGUGCUCUCCCUGGAACAGUGGAGAAUGCCAAUCUUUUCUGAAACCUUUUGGUCUUCUACAACCAGGAACGUCUAAGAGAAGAGGUGGAAACCCUGUCUCCGAGAGAUCCUGUCCCAAACCACAGUGUCCCAGGGUCCAGUGGGCAGUGCCUGGUCCUGGGAAUGGAGAUCUGUGUGGAUGGCUCCCUUAUUGGCCAGGAGGAGCAGGAGAAGUGGCUCUGGGAGCUCGCCGCCGUGCAUUCUGCUGGUAGGUCCCUGUCGGAGCAGAGGCGGACAAAGCUCUCCUCCCGUGAGCGCCUGCACCAGCCCAUCCGUUGGAGUGUUGAGUCUAUGUUUCCUUCUAGCAGCUGCAAAGUUUCUGCCUGACUCCCAGGUCUUGGAUCCAUUUUGAUUUGAAUUUUGGGCAGGGUGAGAGAUAGGGACCCGGUUCCAUCCUUCUAGAUAUGGAUAUCCAGCUUUUCCAACUCCAUUUGUUAAAAGGCUGUUUCUUUUUUCUUCCAGUGUAUAUUAUUUUUGGCCCCUUGUCGAGUAUCAGAUGGCUGUGACCGUGUGGACCUGUCUCUGUGUCUCCUAUUCUGUCCCACUGGUCUUCAUGUCUGUCUUGGUGCCAGUGCCCUGUGGCCUUUGUUACUAUGGCUCUGAAGUAAACUCUGAGAUCUGCUUUGGGAUCCAACAGCGUUGCUCUUUUUGCUGAGUAUUGCUUUGGCUCUUCUAGGUCUUUCAUUUUUCCAAAUGAGUUCCAGAACUGAUCUUCCUAGUUCUACUUUGACGGGGAGUGCACUGAGUCCGCACAGCACUCUUGGUGGCGUGGCCAUUUUAACAAUACUGAGUCUCCCUGUCCAUGAACAUGGGAGCUCUUCCCAUCUUCUGAGGUCUUCUUCGAUUCCUUCCUUAGUGUUCUAUAGUUUUCCCUGUAGAGGUCUUUCACCUCCUUGAUUAGACUUAUUCCUAAGUUGUUUUUGGUUUGUUUUGUUUGUUUUGUUUUUGAGAUUACUUAUGAGCCGGACAGUUUUUCUGAUUCCUUUCUCAGCAGAAUCACUACUGGAGUCUGGGAAAGCUAUGGGUCUGUGUACGUUGACCUUGGAUCCUGUCCUCUGCUGAACUUGUUUAUCAGGUGUCUUCUGGUGGAGUCUUGCAUCUUCCAGAUACAGGAUGAGAACAUCAUGUGAGUGGACUAAGUGGGCCCCAGAGAGUCAAGGGCUGGAUGGGUUCCCUCCUGUGCAAAAGCCAGAGCAAAGCAAGGGGAGGGGUGGUGGGUCCCCUGAAAAUACCCGCAGACGAGUGGAAGGGGACUGGAGCGGGGGAGGCAGGGUGGAGACAGGCAGGAACUUCGGAACGCAGUGUGCAAAGUCAUGCUGUGAACACACGUGAAUGUACCACAGCGAACCCACCUUUAUGUGUGUCUACAGAAUAAGUGAAUGGAAAGAAGACAGAAGAGUAGAGAGGGGCAGACAGGCAGAAGGACGAGGGAGGAAGGAGGAAGCACUGGGGACUUAAAUGGAGCAAACCAUCCACGCGUGUGUGGUCAUGUCAAAAUGAACCCGUCAUGUUACGUGUGACUAUGUUGCCUGAUCACAUUCGAGUUGCGGCCAACGAUCGUGGAAAGACCCCCAGCUUGCUUGUCACUAGGGGAAUGCAAAUGAAACCACCAGGAGAUCCACUUCACACCUUCUGCGAUGGGCAGACCCAGACAGAGUUUGGCAAGUGCCGGCGGGGACAUGGAGAAAUCGACACCCUGCACAUUCCUGGUAGGAGUGUCGAGUGCUGCAACCCAAAUGGAAAGCCGUCCAGUGGUUCCUCAAUAUAAAUAUAAAAUUACUUUUGUGACUCAGCAAUUCCACUCCAUGGUACCUACACCAAAGAAUUGGAAAAAACAAAAUACUUGUCCGUGAGUGUUCAUAGCCGCAGUAUUCAUCAGAGCCCAAAGCUGGAAGGAACCCCAAUGUCUGGAUAAGUGGAAAGACAAAUACUGGUAUGUAAUAAUGGAAUACUGUUUAGCCAUGAAAAGGAAUAAAGUAGGGAUACUUAAAUGUGGAUGAAUCUCAACAGCAUUAAGCUAAAUGAAAGAAACUAGUCACGUAUGGAUGACUUCAUUCAUAUGAAGUAUCCAGAACAGAGAAAUCCAUAGAUAUGGAAGGCAGAUUAAUUGUUGCCCACCAGUAGGAGGAGGGGAGACUGGGGAACAGCUGCUUGCUGAGCACAGGGUUCCUGUAUUAGUCAGUGGUCCAUCACUAUAACAAAAUAUCUGAGAUAAUUAACUUAUGAAGAGAAAAGGUUUAUUUUGGCUCUUGGUUGUAGAGGUUCCAGUCUAGGAUGGGAUGGGCCCAUGACUUUUAGGCCUCUGUUGGGUUGCCCGUGAGCAAUGGUGGGGAGUGUUUCGUGGGCCUGACCUCAUGGUCAGGAUGCAAAGGAGGAGGAUGAGGCUGGGGUCCCCAGAUCCUCUUCAAGGUCAUGCCCCCAGUGACCUCAGUACUUCCCACAAGGCCCCUCUACCUUUAGGCCCACAGUGACCCCCAAAGGAGCCACCCUGGGGACCAAGCCUGUUGCACAUGGGCCUUCGGGGGACACUCACAGUCAAACGGAAGCAGCUUCCUUGGGUGAUGAGAAACGUCCUGGAACCAGGUAGAGUGGUGGGCGACACUGUGGGUGUGCUAAAUGCCAUCUGGAACCCUGACUUCCACUGUGGCCCAGGCACGUAUAAAAUCCAGGUAGCGCCUGGGCACUGGGCUCCCAGCGGGCGACUCGGGGCUGCUGUGGUGGGUAAAGAUGGGGCUCUCCUCUGGCCUCCUACAGCUCAGGAAUAAUGGUUUGGGGGACAGAGUAGGGUAGUGGCCAAACUCCCCCCGGGAGCUGCCUUGGGAAUCACAGAAGAGCAAGAACCCCAGGGUGACAGGAAGGGUGAGCCACGCACAACUCCUCCCCUGCCACCCCACCCCACACCACCUCCUGUCCAGCAUCCUGGCCCGCAACCUGGAGGUGACCCUGGAUGGUGGCAUGUCCGCCAGCUCCUCCCCUCCCGGCAGGCCCCUGGAGGGCCAGUCGGGCUGUACGUGGCUCCCAGUCCUGGAGGAAGCUCAGGGACAGCUCAGGUGUGGCGAGUGGGUCUUCCUGGGCUAGAUAGUGGGCAGCUCACCCGAGGGCACAGUCUGGUCUCUCCUGCCACUGACAGAUGUGCUGUGCCUUCUGUGCACGGUGCCAUACUGGCCCAGGAGGCUGUGACCAACCACUGGCCCCUGUGGCCCCUGACCUACCUGAUGCCUGACCCCCCUCCCCACCCCAAGCUACAGCCUCCUCAAUCCUCUUCUGUGCCUCGGGGGCUCCUCUGUCCUCCAUCCACACUCCCCUGAGUUGGGGGGCAGCCACUGACAUACCUGAGCUCAGGUGGGCAGUCUAAUUUGGCUGAGAGUGGCCUGGGAGGGACACGCGUGGGACAGGUGGUGGAGGGCAGAGCAGGGGCCCCUGGCUUGUGUAGUCCACCAGAUCCGGAGAACCAGGGUGCCCAGUGUAUGGUCCCUGCACCACCCAGGGAGGGCCCAACAGGCUCCUGCAGGGGAGGUGAGAUUGGACUCCUUGUCCUUGCCUCAGGAGGUCGCAGGACCCCCCAGCCAGGGACUCCUCCCUCCUCUGGACAGGUCCACCCUCCCCCAAGGGCAGCCACUCGUAUCUUUGUAAGCACAACCCUCAGCUCUGGCCCCAUCUGGAACAAGGACAGAGAAGUGGAUUCAUGAAGGACUUGUAUAAACCUCGGGGACGGGAGAAGCCCUUCCCCUCCUCACAGCCUCAGAGAAACCUCUCUGGACAGAAGUGGCUCUCCAGGGUUGUGCUGAGGGCCCUCGAUCCUGACAUUACCAGCAAAGAGCAACCCCACCCCACCCCCCAAACUCGAGGAGCUGGAAACAGAUGUGCAAAGUCUCUGGGGACCUUCAUCCAGAGCGGGCGCCCCCCCCCCCCGCCCCCCCUGCCCCUGGCCACAGGAACCAAAACCAUCCUUGGGAAGAGAGGAUAAUUAAUUCAAAAAGCCCACACCCCGGCCUCGGCCCUUUGACAAGGGGGAGGAGGGAGGCCAGGGAGAGCGCUGGGAGUCUAUUGCAUGAUCCCUGUCUCCUUCCAGCCCUAAUGAGACUCCCGGGCAUUAUCCCUGCGUGCAUUGUCUAGGGCAGCCGGAGAAGGGCGAGACCAACUUUAUUUCUGAAUUUGGACUGACUGAAAGAAGUGGCAUCACAUUUGAAGGGCACCCAAUCAAUCUGUUGCCCUCACUGCAUGAAAUUGUAUUCGCUUACCACUUCCUAUCUUGCCGGGCGCAGCUGGGCUGUAAGUCAUUGGUGAUAACAUUCUUUAUUAUGCCGUCGUGUUUAUGAACUGUGCCUGGAAAGAGAUGAUAGAAAUAUGCGGCAAUAUGCAAAGGAAGGGGGAGGGGGAGGGGGAGCAAAUGCUAGUUGCCAGGGCAACCGUGGGGCUAUUUUGGGCAUCGGAUUUUGCAGAUGAUGGAAACCAUUUCCCUGCAGUGGUUGGACUCUCCCCUCCCCCUUCCUGGAGGCAAUAAACGCAGAACCGAAUAUUUAGGAAGGAGAUGGCUUAAUUUCUUAAUUAAAUGUUAUUAUAUUCUUUCCUUUCGCCUUCUUUAAAAAUGGAUGAAAAAAAAAUCUCAGAGUGUUGAUAAGCAUUCUUGAGUGGAGGGCGAGCCGCAUUCUCGUGGAAAGAGGUGUGUGAAUAAUUUACCAAUCUUCACGGAUCCCGCACCUCCCC